CACUUUCUAGGGAUUGCCACAAAAACGUCAUAGCAAUCUUAGCUAGAUUCCAUAGAGCAUUAACAGUCAAACAUGGGUGACACAAUGGGACCCUUUUUUCUGAAGUGAAAAGGAUUUGGAGGAGCUAAGAGUCACAGCAGCUGUUUGCUUUGUCUCUUUCCCACUCCAGAAUCUACAAAAAAGUGGAAAAUGACUGCUUUCCUUUCCUCCUCCUCCAUACGCUUUAAAAAUUGCUUCAUCAAAGCAACCAGAACUGUUUUAAUUUUGUUCACCGAUGGGAAUCAAAUUUCCCAGGCUAGGGUGGUUGUUCUUGCACUGGGUGUUCAAGAGACUCUGUAAUCGGAGUCCUAUCAUUGUUUUAAGGCAAAGAGAAUUAAAAUUUCACAAAUAAACUUUGAGUUCUUCGGAUGUUUGCCAUACUUGAAUGACGGUACAAUUUGGGGGCGUACAACGUUGGUUGAGUGGGGAAGGGAGCGAGGGUUGUACAAUUUAGGCCAGAGCUAUGCCUUUAUAGUACCAAUGAAAAAUAGCUCUUGGCAGAGUCUUGCGUGUUCCUAUUGAUUAUUGUGACCUACAGGUCGGAAUCUACCAUUUACGAAGCACAUGGUUUGACAGGUGCUCAUCAGAAGACCAGCUCAGAAGGGAAAUCAAGUAAGUGGGGGAGAAAACAGAAAAACACAAAAGAUAUUGGCCAGUUACCAUUUUUAAAAGUACAAGCAAGAGAAAAAAGCAAGAACGCUCCAGUGGGUGGGACAUCAUUUCUGUGGCCACAUCAAGAUGGAGUCAUAUUUAUUAGUCAGUGGUCAUGCAAAAGCAACUUAUAAGGUAAGGUACUAGCUUCUUUAUAACCAAUAAACAGUUAAAAACAUUGAUUAAUAGAAAAUUGGUCCUUGACAGAAAGCGACUUAAUCCGGAUUGGUUACUGAACAUUAUGAUCUUUACACCAGAGGCAAAUUGUGUAAACUUCUCACUUCCCGCCACCUGUUGCAAUGCGAGAGCAAGAA